GGUUAAGCGACUAAGCGUACACGGUGGAUGCCCUGGCAGUCAGAGGCGAUGAAGGACGUGCUAAUCUGCGAAAAGCGUCGGUAAGGUGAUAUGAACCGUUAUAACCGGCGAUGUCCGAAUGGGGAAACCCAGUGUGUUUCGACACACUAUCAUUAACUGAAUCCAUAGGUUAAUGAGGCGAACCGGGGGAACUGAAACAUCUAAGUACCCCGAGGAAAAGAAAUCAACCGAGAUUCCCCCAGUAGCGGCGAGCGAACGGGGAGGAGCCCAGAGCCUGAAUCAGUGUGUGUGUUAGUGGAAGCGUCUGGAAAGGCGCGCGAUACAGGGUGACAGCCCCGUACACAAAAAUGCACAUGCUGUGAGCUCGAUGAGUAGGGCGGGACACGUGGUAUCCUGUCUGAAUAUGGGGGGACCAUCCUCCAAGGCUAAAUACUCCUGACUGACCGAUAGUGAACCAGUACCGUGAGGGAAAGGCGAAAAGAACCCCGGCGAGGGGAGUGAAAAAGAACCUGAAACCGUGUACGUACAAGCAGUGGGAGCCCUGAUUUAUCAGGGUGACUGCGUACCUUUUGUAUAAUGGGUCAGCGACUUAUAUUCUGUAGCAAGGUUAACCGAAUAGGGGAGCCGGAGGGAAACCGAGUCUUAACUGGGCGUUAAGUUGCAGGGUAUAGACCCGAAACCCGGUGAUCUAGCCAUGGGCAGGUUGAAGGUUGGGUAACACUAACUGGAGGACCGAACCGACUAAUGUUGAAAAAUUAGCGGAUGACUUGUGGCUGGGGGUGAAAGGCCAAUCAAACCGGGAGAUAGCUGGUUCUCCCCGAAAGCUAUUUAGGUAGCGCCUCGUGAAUUCAUCUCCGGGGGUAGAGCACUGUUUCGGCAAGGGGGUCAUCCCGACUUACCAACCCGAUGCAAACUGCGAAUACCGGAGAAUGUUAUCACGGGAGACACACGGCGGGUGCUAACGUCCGUCGUGAAGAGGGAAACAACCCAGACCGCCAGCUAAGGUCCCAAAGUCAUGGUUAAGUGGGAAACGAUGUGGGAAGGCCCAGACAGCCAGGAUGUUGGCUUAGAAGCAGCCAUCAUUUAAAGAAAGCGUAAUAGCUCACUGGUCGAGUCGGCCUGCGCGGAAGAUGUAACGGGGCUAAACCAUGCACCGAAGCUGCGGCAGCGACACUGUGUGUUGUUGGGUAGGGGAGCGUUCUGUAAGCCUGCGAAGGUGUGCUGUGAGGUAUGCUGGAGGUAUCAGAAGUGCGAAUGCUGACAUAAGUAACGAUAAAGCGGGUGAAAAGCCCGCUCGCCGGAAGACCAAGGGUUCCUGUCCAACGUUAAUCGGGGCAGGGUGAGUCGACCCCUAAGGCGAGGCCGAAAGGCGUAGUCGAUGGGAAACAGGUUAAUAUUCCUGUACUUGGUGUUACUGCGAAGGGGGGACGGAGAAGGCUAUGUUGGCCGGGCGACGGUGUCCCGGUUUAAGCGUGUAGGCUGGUUUUCCAGGCAAAUCCGGAAAAUCAAGGCUGAGGCGUGAUGACGAGGCACUACGGUGCUGAAGCGACAAAUGCCCUGCUUCCAGGAAAAGCCUCUAAGCAUCAGGUAACAUCAAAUCGUACCCCAAACCGACACAGGUGGUCAGGUAGAGAAUACCAAGGCGCUUGAGAGAACUCGGGUGAAGGAACUAGGCAAAAUGGUGCCGUAACUUCGGGAGAAGGCACGCUGAUAUGUAGGUGAAGCGACUUGCUCGUGGAGCUGAAAUCAGUCGAAGAUACCAGCUGGCUGCAACUGUUUAUUAAAAACACAGCACUGUGCAAACACGAAAGUGGACGUAUACGGUGUGACGCCUGCCCGGUGCCGGAAGGUUAAUUGAUGGGGUCAGCGCAAGCGAAGCUCUUGAUCGAAGCCCCGGUAAACGGCGGCCGUAACUAUAACGGUCCUAAGGUAGCGAAAUUCCUUGUCGGGUAAGUUCCGACCUGCACGAAUGGCGUAAUGAUGGCCAGGCUGUCUCCACCCGAGACUCAGUGAAAUUGAACUCGCUGUGAAGAUGCAGUGUACCCGCGGCAAGACGGAAAGACCCCGUGAACCUUUACUAUAGCUUGACACUGAACACUGGUCCUUGAUGUGUAGGAUAGGUGGGAGGCUUUGAAGUGUGGACGCCAGUCUGCAUGGAGCCGUCCUUGAAAUACCACCCUUUAAUGGCUGGUGUUCUAACGUGGGCCCGUAAUCCGGGUUGCGGACAGUGUCUGGUGGGUAGUUUGACUGGGGCGGUCUCCUCCUAAAGAGUAACGGAGGAGCACGAAGGUUGGCUAAUCCUGGUCGGACAUCAGGAGGUUAGUGCAAUGGCAUAAGCCAGCUUGACUGCGAGCGUGACGGCGCGAGCAGGUGCGAAAGCAGGUCAUAGUGAUCCGGUGGUUCUGAAUGGAAGGGCCAUCGCUCAACGGAUAAAAGGUACUCCGGGGAUAACAGGCUGAUACCGCCCAAGAGUUCAUAUCGACGGCGGUGUUUGGCACCUCGAUGUCGGCUCAUCACAUCCUGGGGCUGAAGUAGGUCCCAAGGGUAUGGCUGUUCGCCAUUUAAAGUGGUACGCGAGCUGGGUUUAGAACGUCGUGAGACAGUUCGGUCCCUAUCUGCCGUGGGCGCUGGAGAACUGAGGGGGGCUGCUCCUAGUACGAGAGGACCGGAGUGGACGCAUCACUGGUGUUCGGGUUGUCAUGCCAAUGGCACUGCCCGGUAGCUAAAUGCGGAAGAGAUAAGUGCUGAAAGCAUCUAAGCACGAAACUUGCCCCGAGAUGAGUUCUCCCUGAGACUUAGAGUCUCCUGAAGGAACGUUGAAGACGACGACGUUGAUAGGCCGGGUGUGUAAGCGCAGCGAUGCGUUGAGCUAACCGGUACUAAUGAACCGUGAGGCUUAACCUU
rnacentral:rRNA from 1 species